GCAAGUCGAACGGCAGCACAGUAAGCGCUUGCUCUUAUGGGUGGCGAGUGGCGGACGGGUGAGGAAUACACCGGCAUCUACUCUUUCGUGGGGGAUAACGUAGGGAAACUUACGCUAAUACCGCAUACGACCUACGGGUGAAAGCGGAGGACCUUCGGGCUUCGCGCGAUUGAAUGAGCCGAUGUCGGAUUAGCUAGUUGGCGGGGUAAAGGCCCACCAAGGCGACGAUCCGUAGCUGGUCUGAGAGGAUGAUC
rnacentral:rRNA from 1 species